GAUUUGUCAAAGCAUAUCUUUGAGUUUGAUGAUGAAUUUAUCUUCAGCCUAAAGGAGUCCGAUGAACCAUUGGCUGUUGUUAGUCCAGAGGAACCCACACAGCCACUUCAUACAUCAACACCAAAGAAACCCAUACAUACAAGUAAAACAGGAAAAGGCAGACCAGUUCGGAGGUUAUUAAAGCUUAAGAAAACAGGGGAAGUGCAACGUCUACAGCCAUGUAGGAGAUGAAGUUUUCAUAGCAAUGUAUCCCAGAGCCAGAUCAUCAGGGCUAGAGAAAAAGUAUAGACGAAGGAUUUCAACUAUAGAGUUGACUGGA